ACCAGCUGGAUCGACCCGCGGGACAGGUACACCAAACCGCUCACCUUUGCUGACUGCAUUAGUGAUGAGUUGCCGCUAGGAUGGGAAGAGGCAUAUGACCCACAGGUUGGAGAUUACUUCAUAGACCACAACACCAAAACCACUCAGAUUGAGGAUCCUCGAGUACAAUGGCGGCGGGAGCAGGAACAUAUGCUGAAGGAUUACCUGGUGGUGGCCCAGGAGGCUCUGAGUGCACAAAAGGAGAUCUACCAGGUGAAGCAGCAGCGCCUGGAGCUUGCACAGCAGGAGUACCAGCAACUGCAUGCCGUCUGGGAGCAUAAGCUGGGCUCCCAGGUCAGCUUGGUCUCUGGUUCAUCAUCCAGCUCCAAGUAUGACCCUGAGAUCCUGAAAGCUGAAAUUGCCACUGCAAAAUCCCGGGUCAACAAGCUGAAGAGAGAGAUGGUUCAUCUCCAGCACGAGCUACAGUUCAAAGAACGUGGCUUUCAGACCCUGAAGAAAGCCUUGCCAUGUUGAAGGACGGCUUCCGCACUGACAGGGGGUCUCACUCAGACCUGUGGUCCAGCAGCAGCUCUCUGGAGAGUUCGAGUUUCCCGCUACCG
rnacentral:sRNA from 1 species